AGCGGUAGCACAGGAGAGCUUGCUCUCUGGGUGACGAGCGGCGGACGGGUGAGUAAUGUCUGGGAAACUGCCUGAUGGAGGGGGAUAACUACUGGAAACGGUAGCUAAUACCGCAUAACGUCUUCGGACCAAAGUGGGGGACCUUCGGGCCUCACGCCAUCAGAUGUGCCCAGAUGGGAUUAGCUAGUAGGUGGGGUAAUGGCUCACCUAGGCGACGAUCCCUAGCUGGUCUGAGAGGAUGACCAGCCACACUGGAACUGAGACACGGUCCAGACUCCUACGGGAGGCAGCAGUGGGGAAUAUUGCACAAUGGGCGCAAGCCUGAUGCAGCCAUGCCGCGUGUGUGAAGAAGGCCUUCGGGUUGUAAAGCACUUUCAUCGAGGAGGAAGGGUGGUGUGUUGCUAGGCCACCCCCUUUUCCC
rnacentral:rRNA from 1 species